UCAAAUCCCUUCUGGAACGCCAGUUUUGACAGAAGACCAAUUACAGCAAACUUAAUCUACUCAUCUGAAAGUUAAUCGGACAAAGAAG
rnacentral:tRNA from 1 species